GCUGCUGAGCUGUAGAAGCCCCAGGCGCUGCCCCUGUCACUGUGUGAAGAACAGACUGCGCUCCGCUGCUGGAAUCAUGACAGCUCCUCUGGCCCUGGGUCUCCUCUCUCUGGUUGCCUUUCCUUUCGUUCACUCUGGUUUUCUGCGCCAAUAGCCCACAGUGGUCACACCGGGUCUCUGGAAUAAAGCACUACUGAUACUGGAUUUAGCACGAGCAGCGAUGAAAUGUACGGGAUUCUCCUCGAGAAAGAUCUGGAGUGGAUGACUAGAUUUUGCCGCGGUCGCGAAAGGAUUCUUUGUCUCGGCAGUUUGCGUUUGGAGAGCUGGAGACAGUGGAGUCUGUUAGUGAGAAACGCGCGGACAAAUGCUUGAACAAUGGAAUAAAAUCUGACGGAACAGAAAGCGGAGAAAUUUCGCGGAAUAAGCAAAAUAACGGCUUUUGAUUGCAGAUAAAUAAAACAGGUACUGUAAACCAUUUGGCAGGCCUUUAGUGCUUUAUCAGUGUGGAUAUCAAAUCAUCCAGCAAUGAAAAAACACCAUAGAACACCCUCACCUGAAGGUAUUAUUCAUUACCUGCUCCGUUAUGAAACUGAACAGAACUUUAAAUUAUCAUAAAACCUUUCCCACUUAAACAUUGGAACAUAUUCGUCUGACUUGGCAUAUACUGUAGUGAGGCAGAUAUGUACAGUUGUUCUGAAAUCAGAAGUCACGACUACGUAAUUUCGCAUGAUUAUAUUUAAAUAUUUUUUCAAACUUAUAUACAUGGUUAUUUUAACAAAUAUUUGCAGUUUAAGGGUUAGAAAGCAACGAUUCAAUCUGAUUUUCUUUGCUGUACGGCAAUAAAGAAACGAGUAUCCUGACAAA